GACGAACGCUGGCGGCGUGCUUAACACAUGCAAGUCGAACGGAAAGGCCCUGCUUUUGUGGGGUGCUCGAGUGGCGCACGGGUGAGUAACGCGUGAGUAACCUGCCCUUGAAUUUGGGAUAAAUUCAGGAAACUGGGGCGAAUACCGGAUAGGAGCUCCUGCUGCAUGGGGGGGGUUGGAAAGUGUCGGCGGUUGGGGCUGGACUCGCGGCUUAUCAGCUUGUUGGUGGGGUAGUGGCUUACCAAGGCUUUGACGGGUAGCCGGCCUGAGAGGGUGACCGGCCACAUUGGGACUGAGAUACGGACCAGACUCCUACGGGAGGCAGCAGUGGGGAAUAUUGCACAAUGGGCGGACGCCUGAGGCAGCAACGCCGCGUGCGGGAUGACGGCCUUCGGGUUGUAAACCGCUUUCGCCUGUGACGAAGCGUGAGUGACGGUAAUGGGUAAAGAAGCGCCGGCUAACUACGUG
rnacentral:rRNA from 1 species